CCUACGGGGGGCUGCAGUGAGGAAUAUUGGUCAAUGGACGAGAGUCUGAACCAGCCAAGUAGCGUGAAGGAUGACUGCCCUAUGGGUUGUAAACUUCUUUUAUAUGGGAAUAAAAUGUUCCACGUGUGGGAUUUUGUAUGUACCAUAUGAAUAAGGAUCGGCUAACUCCGUGCCAGCAGCCGCGGUAAUACGGAGGAUCCGAGCGUUAUCCGGAUUUAUUGGGUUUAAAGGGAGCGUAGGUGGAUUGUUAAGUCAGUUGUGAAAGUUUGCGGCUCAACCGUAAAAUUGCAGUUGAGACUGGCAGUCUUGAGUACAGUAGAGGUAGGCGGAAUUCGUGGUGUAGCGGUGAAAUGCUUAGAUAUCACGAAGAACUCCGAUUGCGAAGGCAGUUCACUGAACUGCAACUGACACUGAGGCUCGAAAGUGUGGGUAUCAAACAGGAUUAGAUACCCGUGUAGUC
rnacentral:rRNA from 1 species